GUGCCCAUGUGUGAGGGGAUUUGCCAAUCCGCUCGCCGCGCCUCACCCCAAGUCCCCAGGCCCCAACCCCGCCGCACAAACCCUAGACUCCCCAAGCCCACAGGCCACAGCUUCCCAUUCCUCUCUCCUCCGUCCUCCCUAUGACCACGCCGCUGGGAGGAAGCGGUCGUUCGUGGCUCCAUACCGCUGUCGGGGUGCCGUGCAAGAGGUCAGGGGCCGCCACCACCGUGAGCCAGGACGAAGCGGACGCCCUUUGCGAGCCUCCGGGCAGGAAGCCGACGGCGAGUACGCCAUUAACAAGCCGCCAAGAGGACCCACCGGCCAGUCCCCUGUCACCGAGCAAGGGCCGCCCGUUGCGUCGUCGUGGGAGGAGGCGCACAGAGGAGCAGCGGAGGAGGAGAUGAGGACACGCCCCCGGACUCCCUAUUUCCUUUUGGUCGCACCUUCCCUGAGGCGUCUCUCUCUCUUGGGCAGCUUCCAUACAAGAUUUGGAUGAGGAAAAGGAGACCCGAUGCGGGGCAACGACGAGCGCCGGUGAGCUAGCUGGACAGGUGCCGGGCCCAUGGGCGCGAUUGGGGAGCUGCACACACAUCCAUCGACGGCGAGCACAUCGAACGGCCACACAUCAAGAGGGCAAGGGAAGCUUGCGCUACUUUUUGGAAGUUAAAGGUUGGGCUUGCGCAUUGAGUGACGGCGUUGGGACUGGAGGAGCACAAGGAUCCUCUUCUUUUCCAGCUCUUCGGGGUUGUUACGGCCAUGCACCAAUAUAUAAAUAAAUCUACUUAAGCUGUCUGAGCCGCAAGAAUGGACAUUUAAAUAACUCCAGAACAUUGGGUACAUGGAGUUCAGAUUUGCAGAAGAGCAACCUCCAGAUGAUUAUGUAGUAGAUCUUGCAGAAAUAUGUUAUUCUGAAAAGCACAUAAUUUCUGGAGAAUAUCUUUAUGAGGGAUGGGAGCCAAAGUUAGUCUAGCAUCUUCUCAUUGUUGGCUACAAAUUAUACACGAUACACUGGAAACACAUAUAUUAUGUUCAUUAAGUCAAAGGUUUCCAAGUAUGCCACUCUCUUGGUGGUGGUACUGGAUCAGGCAUGGGUACACUUUUGGUAUCAAAGAUCAGGGAGGAGUACCCUGGCGCAUGAUGCUAACAUUCUCUGUUUUCCCUCACCGGAAGUAUCUGAUAUGUGGUUGAACCUUACAAUGCCACUCUUUCGGUCCAUCAGUUGGUUGAGAAUGCAGAUGAGUGCAUGGUUCUUGAGAAUGAGGCCCUUUAUGACAUCUGUUUCAGGACUCUCAAGCUGACCACUCCGAGUUGUAAGCGAAAUCUGUACCUUCUUAUUGUUAUUUUCUACAGAUGAAUAUGAGCAUGAUGUCAAGUGGAUCUUCAUAAUUCUGAAUAUUUGUAACUGCAUGUUAUUAUAUGCUUGAUAACACAAAUAUUAAUGCAUACUUUCUAUUCACAACCGUAAAAUUGGAAAAUGAUGUAGUUCAUUGGCUUGCUUUUUCUAUAAUGUCUGUCCAAACUAUUCCUGUAGUGCAGUUUUGGUAUUCUUAGACAUGAUCUGAAACUCUAAAUGGAUUCUUGUGCUUGAGUUAUUUGCUCAGGGCUUUCAUUUAUAUGCACUUGUAUUUCGGUUUCAAUGUGAUGCAUGCUUAUUGCCAAAGGACCUCCCAUUGCUUAUAUCCUACCAGUAUAGCCAUGCUCCCCGUCACAUUAUCUGUUGAAAGUGCCUCCCCAUGGUGUUGUUCGUCAAAAGCUUUCUUCCUCUUUCUUUCGAAAUUACAGGAGUUGUUGCGCAAAAGUACAUGGUUUUUCCUUCAAGAUGUGUAGUUUUGUAAUAUACAAUAGUUCUGACCUGAACUCUGCUGACCAAAAAAAUAUAUACCUCAUUACUCUAUGAUGCACUAACACUUUUUUAGAGUCUGAGGUUGCUUUGGCCUAAUGAAGGGUAUGCAGAGCAAUGCCUCUGCCUUAGUUCAAGAGAGCAAGGCAGGCAACAAGGGGGAGGGUCUGGCCGAAGUCAAGAAACAAGAGAACUUGACACCGACCUAGAGAAACUCUAUGUAGCAGACCUUCGCCGGAGAGAUGGCGGAACUGCAAUUGUCAAGUGCCUCCGGUGUACACGCUUUGUUGUCUUGUUUAUCCUUCCAUGUGGAAAUUUGGCUUGUCAGAUUUGCAUCGACUGUGGAAACCUCCUGGUGCACUAUCCAGUUGUAGUUCCCUUUCAUGUAAUUGUCUUCCCCCCAAGUAAAUGUAUAACUAUGAUCUCA